CUAGUCUUUCCUUGUUUGAAACUGGAGAGUCACUAUAUUCUAUGCAAACUGUCAAGAAGUCCAAUUCUCAAAAGCUUGAGUUAAUCAAAAUCAGAUAGGUACAAAGACGCCAAUACUGGUGAAGUAUAUCAAGCAGACAUUGAAGACAUAUUGUAGCUUCCCCCAACUCCCUUCUCAAGCAAGCACAUAAGCAGGCUUUAAGAUAUAAAUGCCAUUAAUUUGGUCUUUAGAGAGGCUAGUAAAGGCACGUCUGUGAUCUGUUGUGUAGCUAAGACACAAAAGUGCAGUAGAGCUGGAAGGAAGGAUGUUCACAUUGCCUGGCCUGCAUUUUAUGAUUCUCAACACCCAACAUAUGCCUAACACGCUGAGGUCUGCUGACACGCUGUCUCCCUUUCAAAUGGAAAAAUAUGAUCCCACUCAUGAGCACUUCUCUCUGAAAUUCCAGCCUCAGAGUGAUGAAAUUCCUUUUGUUCUCUUCUUGGACUUUUCUCUAAGGGAUAUAAAACCUCUGCACUAGAACAAUUUUGGAAAGCUUAGUUCAGCUUUCAGAAUGCCUUAUCUUUUCUGUUAUGCCUGACUACUUCAUUAAAGUGUCAGACUAUUUGGGAAAAGCCACUUGUGUCAUCAGAAUAGGGGUAAGACUCAGCAAAAUGGUUUGGUCUGGCCCAAUCUUACAA